rnacentral:rRNA from 1 species
UACGGGGGGAGCAAGCGUUGUUCGGAUUUACUGGGCGUAAAGGGCGCGUAAGCGGCGUGGUAAGUCACUUGUGAAAUCUCUGAGCUUAACUCAGAACGGCCAAGUGAUACUGCUGUGCUAGAGUGCAGAAGGGGCAAUCGGAAUUCUUGGUGUAGCGGUGAAAUGCGUAGAUAUCAAGAGGAACACCUGAGGUGAAGACGGGUUGCUGGGCUGACACUGACGCUGAGGCGCGAAAGCCAGGGGAGCAAACGGG